rnacentral:lncRNA from 1 species
CCCCAUAUCCUCUUUUCAUCCACAGCCAGGUAGGGGUAUACCGUGGAGGGUAGUACUAAUGUCUUAGGACUUUUAUGCCGCCAUCCCAAAGUCAGUAUAUCCCAUUUGACCUUCUGACAAACACAAACCGAAAGAGUCAGGGAGUUAGGCUCCAACCUGUCUUAAUUGAAGACGUCAAUCAUCGUCACAGACGGCGCCUUUAUCAGUGAGAAAUAAUCUCUCGAUUCUUGAAAUCAAUGAAAAUCUGCACACAAAUAUUAUGUUACGAUUAGUUGUGAAUAGUUGAAUGUUAAUUAUUUUAUCAGGACAAUUCUAUUUGUGAAAUACCCUAUAUAUAGUUCCAAUCGAAUAGACAGCCGACUCGUGAAUUUUUUUGAAAGAAAAAAGUGAACGUUUUUUCACCGUCAGUCCGCUCUAUGACAUUCGCGAGAGAAACUGAGUGAUAACGUCAGGAAGAGUUGAUUUUAGGCAAAUUCUGGUUUUCUAAUAUGAAACUACGUCUUUGAUGGAUAUAAAGCUGCCGUGCCUUGUUGUGAUAUUGUGAUUGAGUAAUUCUGCUGUGGAGCGAUCUUGCAAUAUCCUUAAUUAUCGAUUGGGAUGAAUGAUCGAAUGAAUUAUUUCUUCUGGACUGCCUUAAAACAUUUCCGACAAUGUUAGGGUAGUCGAGCAUUGGGAGAUGUUUUUCUCAGUUAUGGUAAAUCGAAAUUUCGCCCGAACAGUGCUACCUUUGAGAACACGGCGAAAUGAAUGGGGUAUGUGUCCGCUAUCACCCUCCAUAUCAGAAGGAACUUAUGUAGUGAAUAGUACUGACUGUACUCGGUUCAUUGUAUGCAUAAAAAGCGCAACAUAUUCCUUCAAAUGCCCUGACUCUCUCUUCUUUCACCAAUCAACAGGUCGUUGUGACUAUGGUGAAGAUUUGGUCAUACCAGAAAAUUACUGUGAAUACGACGACAUGUACUACGAAAAAUCCCAUGUCUGCAAUUGCAACAAAUAUGUACUGUGUGCUUAUGGCGUACCGAAAGUCCUGACAUGUCCGUUUGGAUACCAUUUCAACCAAGAUCGAGAAAUGAUUCCACUGAACAAUGUGAGCGUCAGAAGUGUAGACCCCUGUUCCAGAGGAAGUUGUUAGAAUUCGAGUUUCUUUUGAGUGAAUAGAUGGUUUUCACAAGUA